GGUCGGUUUGGCCGGAUUUCACACGGGUGUUGCAUGGCUGUCGUCAGCUCGUGUCGUGAGAUGUUGGGUUAAGUCCCGCAACGAGCGCAACCCUCAUCCUUAGUUACCAUCAGGCUAUGCUGGGGACUUUAAGGAAACUGCCAGUGAUAAACUGGAGGAAGGUGGGGAUGAUGUCAAGUCAUCAUGGCCCUUAUGGAGUGGGCUACACACGUGCUACAAUGGUGAUUACAAUGGGCUGCAAGGUCGCAGGGCUGAGCUAAUCCUAAAAAAUCAUCUCAGUUCGGAUUGUUCUCUGCAACUCGAGAGCAUGAAGUUGGAAUCGCUAGUAAUCGUGGAUCAGCGUGCCACGGUGAAUACGUUCUCGGGUCUUGUACACACUGCCCAUCACGCCAUGGUAAUUGGUUUCACUCGAAGCU
rnacentral:rRNA from 1 species